ACGCGCAGGCUCCGGACGCGCAGGCUCAGCGGCCAUGACUCACGGGCCCAGCCGCUCCGCGGCAUGUGGGAUCUUUCCGGACCGGGGCACGAACCCACGUCCCCUGCAUCGGCAGGCGGACUCUCAACCACUGCGCCACCAGGGAAGCCCCAAAAGACUUUAAAAAUCUGUACUCAAGAUGCUGAAAGUAGAGACCAAAAACAACACCUCCUUGAAAAUGGAUUUGAUUCACCCUCAAGACCACUGCAAAUAUUACCAGUUUGGUUAGAGCCAGCUGAGUCGGGAAGAACAUAAAGAUUUCAGAUACAAAUGUCAGUGGGUCGUGUAUGUGCAUGAUUGGAGAAGGAGAAAGAACUGAUGCAGUUGAUUCCACGGCACAUGAGAUAUCAUCUUAGCUCCUUUACACACAGCCUCAAAUGAACCUCCCAACGAUCCUUAUUCGGGAAUGCUUCCCAUCCUAUAGAAGAAGAACCUGAGACUCAAGAGAUAAUUUGUUCAAGACCUCAGUUCUGAAGUGAUACAACAGGGAUUCCUUCCCAGCCUUGUCUGAGUGCUGGUAAAGGCUUUCUUACUCGUGUCCUGGAAGUUGACGUCAUUGCCGUUAUACGCGUUCUUCAGUUUGUUGGUCAUCACACGGAGAGCCAUGAUCUGCUGCCUGAUGAACGUGUCGGGCCGCGUGAUGUCCACGUCCACCUCGGGGUUGUUGAUCUGGUUGGUCAGCCCAUCGUUCAUGAUCUCAGGCAAAAGGUGGAAGCAACCCGAGUAUCUUCUGCCAGAUGAAUGGAUAAACAAAUGUGGCCUAUACAUAUAACAACUCAGCCUUAAAAAGGAAGGACAUUCUGACACAUGCUGACAUUGAUGAAUCUUAAAGACAUCACGCUAAGUGAAGUACGCCGAUCACAGAGGGACGUAUGUUGUAUAAUUUCACUUAUGUAAGGUACUUGAAAUAGUCAAAUUCAUAGAGACAGAAAGUAGA